AACGUAGGGGACAAGCGUUAUCCGGAUUUACUGGGCGUAAAGCGCAUGUAGGUGGCGUGGCAAGUUGGAUGUGAAAGCUCCCGGCUUAACUGGGAGAGGUCAUUCAAAACUGCCGGGCUUGAGGUUGGAAGAGGAGAGCGGAAUUCCCGGUGUAGUGGUGGAAUGCGUAGAUAUCGGGAGGAACACCAGUGGCGAAAGCGGCUCUCUGGUUCAAUACUGACACUGAGAUGCGAAAGCGUGGGGAGCUAACGGG
rnacentral:rRNA from 1 species